rnacentral:rRNA from 1 species
UACGUAGGGUGCGAGCGUUUGUCCGGAAUUAUUGGGCGUAAAGAGCUCGUAGGCGGUGUGUCGCGUCGGCCGUGAAAACCUGGGGCUCAACUCUGGGCGUGCGGUCGAUACGGGCAUCACUGGAGUUCGGCAGGGGAGACUGGAAUUCCUGGUGUAGCGGUGAAAUGCGCAGAUAUCAGGAGGAACACCGGUGGCGAAGGCGGGUCUCUGGGGCCGAUACUGACGCUGAGGAGCGAAAGCAUGGGUAGCGAACAGG